rnacentral:rRNA from 1 species
GACGAACGCUGGCGGCGUGCCUAACACAUGCAAGUCGAACGGAAAGGCCCUGCUCUUGCGGGGUGCUCGAUUGGCGCACGCGUGUGUAACACGUGGGUAACCUGCCCUUGACUUUGGGAUAACUUCAGGAAACUGGGGCUAAUACCGGAUAGGAGCUCCUGCUGCAUGGUGGGGGUUGGAAAGUUUCGGCGGUUGGGGAUGGUCUCGCGGCUUAUCCGCUUGUUGGUCGGGUAGUUGCUUACGAAGCCUUUGACGGGUAGCCGGCCUGAGAGGGUGACCGGGGACAAUGGGACUAAGGUAGGGCGCAGUCUGCUACGGGAGGCAGCGGUGGGGAAUAUUGCAGAAUGAGCGGAAGCGUGAUGCGGCAGCGCCGCGAUCGUGAUGACGGCCUUCGGGUUGUAAACCGCUUUCGCCGGUGACGAAGCGUGAGUGACGGUAAUGGGUAAAGAAGCAACGGCUAACUACGUG